CGUCGCCAUCGCCGCAAACGAGGCGCGGGCGGGGGGGCAGCGUAUCCUCCUGGUCGACUGGUGCUCCCGGCCCAGCUGGACCCUCCCCCGGCUCUUCCAGGACGACCCCGGGGUUCUGUAUUUUGGGGUUCACGGAGGCCCCGCCCCCCCCGACCCACC
rnacentral:lncRNA from 1 species